UACGGAGGGUGCGAGCGUUGUCCGGAAUCACUGGGCGUAAAGGGCGCGUAGGUGGCUACUCAAGCGCGCGGUGAAAGCCCGGGGCUCAACCCCGGGUCGGCCGUGCGGACUGGGAGGCUCGAGCACUGUAGGGGCGGGUGGAAUUCCGGGUGUAGCGGUGGAAUGCGCAGAUAUCAGGAGGAACACCAAUGGCGAAGGCAGCUCGCUGGGACGGUACUGACGCUGAGGCGCGAAAGCGUGGGGAGCAAACAGG
rnacentral:rRNA from 1 species